rnacentral:rRNA from 1 species
AUUGAACGCUGGCGGCAGGCCUAACACAUGCAAGUCGAACGAGUGGCGGACGGGUGAGUAAUGUCUGGGAAACUGCCUGAUGGAGGGGGAUAACUACUGGAAACGGUAGCUAAUACCGCAUACCAUCAGAUGUGUCCAGAUGGGAUUAGCUUGUUGGUGGGGUAACGGCUCACCAAGGCGACGAUCCCUAGCUGGUCUGAGAGGAUGACCAGCGACAUGGGAGUUGGGAAACGGUCCAGACUCCGACGGGAGGCAGCAGUGGGGAAUAUUGCACAAUGGGCGCAAGCCUGAUGCAGCCAUGCCGCGUGUAUGAAGAAGGCCUUCGGGGUGUAAAGUACUUUCGGCGGGGAGGCGGUACCCGCAGAAGAAGCACCGGCUAACUCCGUGCCAGCAGCCGCGGUAAUUC